UACAGAGGUCCCGAGCGUUGUUCGGAUUCACUGGGCGUAAAGGGUGCGUAGGUGGCGAGGUAAGUCGGAUGUGAAAUCUCGGAGCUCAACUCCGAAACUGCAUUGGAAACUACCUGGCUAGAGGUUUGGAGGGGGGACUGGAAUGCUUGGUGUAGCAGUGAAAUGCGUAGAUAUCCAGAGGAACACCAGCGGCGAAGGCGGCUCACUGGGUACCACCUGACGCUGAGGCGCGAAAGCGUGGGGAGCGAACCGG
rnacentral:rRNA from 1 species